rnacentral:rRNA from 1 species
GAUGAACGCUGGCGGCGUGCUUAACACAUGCAAGUCGAACGGGAAUUACUUUAUUGAAACUUCGGUCGAUUUAAUUUAAUUCUAGUGGCGGACGGGUGAGUAACGCGUGGGUAACCUGCCUUGUACAGGGGGAUAACAGUCAGAAAUGACUGCUAAUACCGCAUAAGCGCACAGGACCGCAUGGUCCGGUGUGAAAAACUCCGGUGGUAUAAGAUGGACCCGCGUUGGAUUAGCUUGUUGGUGGGGUAACGGCCCACCAAGGCGACGAUCCAUAGCCGGCCUGAGAGGGUGAACGGCCACAUUGGGACUGAGACACGGCCCAGACUCCUACGGGAGGCAGCAGUGGGGAAUAUUGCACAAUGGGGGAAACCCUGAUGCAGCGACGCCGCGUGAAGGAAGAAGUAUCUCGGUAUGUAAACUUCUAUCAGCAGGGAAGAAAAUGACGGUACCUGACUAAGAAGCCCC